rnacentral:tRNA from 1 species
UGCGUCUAUAGCUUAAUUGGAAAAGUACCGAACUUCGGAUUCGUGUUAUGAGAGUUCAAAUCUUUCUAGACGUAU